rnacentral:rRNA from 1 species
AUUGAACGCUGGCGGCAGGCCUAACACAUGCAAGUCGAGCGGAGCGGCGGACGGGUGAGUAAUGCCUAGGAAUCUGCCCGGUAGUGGGGGAUAAAGUCCGGAAACGGGCGCUAAUACCCCAUACAAGUAGACGAGACGAGGUCGGAUUAGCUAGUUGGUGGGGUAACGGCCAACCAAGGCGACCAUCCGUAACUGGUCUGAGAGUAUGAUCAGUCACACUGCAACUGAGACACGGUCCAGACUCCUACGGGAGGCAGCAGUGGGGAAUAUUGGACAAUGGGCGAAAGCCUGAUCCAGCCAUGCCGCGUGUGUGAAGAAGGUCUUCGGAUUGUAAAGCACUUUAAGUUGGGAGGCGUUACCAACAGAAUAAGCACCGGCUAACUUCGUGCCAGCAGCCGCGGUAAUUC